UGCCAUCUCCCCCGUGCCUCGGUCCCACCGUGGCUUCGCCUCGCCCCGCCGAGCUCAUUUUGCAGCCCCGCCGCGGCCGCUCUUCGCCCUCGCCCAUCCCCAGCCUCCCACCGGGUCUCCUUUUCGUGCCACCUCAAGCUCGGGUUUAAGGCGGAAAAGCCCCAGACCCGCUUCUCCCCGGCCUCUCUCCCUCGUUUUGCCAAAGCGAUCGAUCCCCGGAUUUAAUAAUAAUCAUCAUAAUAAGGAUGGUAUUUCUUAAGCGCUUACUAUGUGCAAACUGGAGACGUUUGGGUUUAACCUUUGCAUUGCUGCUCCAGUCUGUUUCUGUCAGCUGCCUGAAAGGUUUUUUUAAAAAAAAGAAAAGAAAAAAGAUAGAGAAAGAGCACACACUCAGCUCCCGGCUGAGCCUGUAAAAAUAUGUGCAGAAGAGGCGAUGGGCUGGUUUACAGUGCAGGCAAACAUUUCAAAGCUGAGCGAGGGGCACCCCCUUAUCACUUUUCAUCCCCCUUCCCUUAAACUUCCUCCUUUUCUACCACCCCUCCCUUCCACGCGCCAAUCGAAAGGAUUGCUGGCAUAAUUCAAACCGGGAGAAAUAAAGGAGGCUCCCCGGGACGUUGAACGUUGACAACGGGGGCAAUUACUUUACUUCCUAAUUGAUGCUCCGCAUUUUAACUGCGAGCCCACCGGUCUGUUCGUGUUUGCUCAGCAAAUAAAUGCUCCCUCCGAACUGACCCGGCUUUACUACCUCUUUAGGAAUGGUGCGAGCUAGGUGACGGAAACCCAGUUCGGACAAAUUGAUGUAUUCACCCUGGAACUGCAAGCAGCAAAAGUCGAGCAGAUGCAGAAUGACAGAGCACUGUUUUAUCAUUGGAUUUCCCCAUUUCAGACCUCCUCCAAGAACAAAAGCCCAAGAACCUCAUCUGGAUGGUCCAGGGACACUUGCGUUCUUGUCCUAAUGUUUUCCACAGAUAGACUGGAUGCCAGUAUCACAAGGAAUCGGACCUUCAAAGUACAUCGGUCUAGGAAAAUUGCAGACAAUAGGACCAAGACCUUCAGAUAGUUACAGACCGGACAAAAGCAGUUGACACCAUCCAUAGACUGAACUCUCACAACUCUUAAGUAAAUGGUGUUGCCUUGAGGCAUCCAUCGAAAUCUGGAGAUUGCCCCAUGCUGAAACCUUGGGUAGGUCACCGACAAAAUGGAAGAAGGUUGGGCCGUAGUUCUGACUCAGGCCAAUAAUUAGAAUAAUUAUUAGAUAACUAGAAUAAUAAUCCACAAAACAAGAGAUAAGGGCUCUGGUUUGGAAUAUAAUUCUGAUCCCCUGAGCAACUUGCAGUUCAACAAACUAUAAGCACAACUGAAAAGUCUACAGUAGAGUUAUUCAGGAUUUGCUACAUUGAGACGGACUACUUUAUAAAAACAGCCUAAUACUCUAGACUGACAUAGACUCACUUGCCUGCUGUACCAGGGAGUUUACCAGCAUGCAGUAUGGAAGAAUCUACCCCCAACUAAGGGUCUUCAUUGGCAAUGCAGAACUCCACCAAAGCUCUUUGUUAUCCAAGAUGCACACUGCCCCAAAAUAAAACAAGUAUCAAGAAGGCCGGUAUGCCCUUUGGAAGAUUCUAGACUGUAAGUUUGUUAUGGGCAGGGAACGUUUCUGCUAAUUCUGUUAUACUGCACUCUCCCAAGUGCUUAGUACAGUGUUCUGCACAUAGUAAGUGCUCAAUAAGUAUCACUGAUUGACUGAUUGAGAAUGGCUGAUUACAAGAUACCAGACAGCUGGUCUAUGUUGAGGAGAAAUGGAGAACUCACAGAUAGGGUGGACAGAACACAAGUUUUAAAGCUUUAAUGAAGCAAAAUCUCAAACACCAGUAGAACAAAUCAUCCUGGUGUACUGCAACCGGAAAAGAAAUAACUGCCUUAGAAGAGAGAAUUCCAGAAAACUGCCAAAGGCCUGAUGCAACACUGUCACAAGAAGCAAUCUUUCACAGCCACACAAUGCAGAAGGAAUGAUCGAAUUUGGGUGUUACUGAUAAAAAAAAAACAAAACUCUU